UAAUAAAAUAGUCUAUGGCUGUAGACAGCAGGUAUGGAGCUUCGGCUUCAUUUAAAGGAGACGCCUGCCGAGGCCGGAUGCUUACGCAUGAAUAUGCGGCUUCCGGUAAAUCAGCCGGAGGCCGUUUUUGCUCUUUAUA
rfam:Anaerovibrio lipolyticus strain 5S contig00266, whole genome shotgun sequence.